ensembl:lncRNA
CCAUCACCGUGGCUUACACGCUAAUGAAAACAGGAUACAGCUGGUUAACAGCCUGGUUUUGAAGAGUUUAAGACCAACGUGUGUGUGCAGGCUGACCACUUGAAGAGCCCCAGUCACAGCCACACUGCUUCGAAAGCUCUCCCACCACAAGCAACUCCCUCAGCCUGCCUCGCUCCUUGCAGCUCCCACCUGGCCCGUUCCCCCCAAGGCCCUGUCCGAGGGUUGAUGUGAAUGUGGGGUUGGGGAGGGUUGAUGGCACAGCUCCUGGGAGGUGGGGACCCAGCUGCUUCCGGUGUCCUGCUUAAGUGGGUGGUGGCAUCAGGUCCUCAAGCUGAAAAGAGGGGCAGAGCAGUGAAUUGUGCACGAAAAUCUAGUUAGGGAUUCAGAUCAGAAUCCAAGGGCAUCUGGGUGGGCUCUGACCCAAGCCAGGCAUGUGGGGAAAUCCACGGCACUGGCAGGUGCCCGAACCCCAAACCACAGCCCCUGGACGGCCAGGCCUGCUGUUCUGAGUGGGAAUCCCACACCCGGCAUUCACAUCACCUGUGGCCAAAGGCGCAAGGGCAGCUUUUCCUUGUGUGUUUCCCACCCUGGAUCCUGGGCACAGCUCGGGGACAGAGUAUUCCUGCCCCAGCUCCCUGCCCCCGUUCUCCACUGUUCCAGAACCACCUUCUCCCAUUUGUGACCCCCUCGACACUCAUCUACCACCUGGUUUAAAAGCCUUCCACCUGGAUGCCGCCCUGCUCAACCCACCAGCUGAACUCCCCUUGUCAGCAGCCUGCAAGACCAUCACACUGGAGGGUCCCAGAGAAGUUUAGGGAACAGUGAUCCCAGGCCUAAAGCCACUGCCAGCCCUCCAGACCCAGGGCCAAGGCCAGGACCAACCAACAGCUGGUCAGAACAAGUUUCUGGCUGAGUCCCUAGAAGUUCAAUAUGCCAAAACCAGUUCUUCCCCUGUUUUUAAUCUUUCAGUCAACUAUGAAGAUUACUUAAGGUGUUCGGAAGGCCUUCCCCACUCCCCUCCUCCCAACCCAGACCCUCCAAAAUAGGCUCCCGCCUUCUUCCCAAUUCCUGGUGCCCCCAGCCUGGACCAAGCCCUCAUCCCU